rnacentral:lncRNA from 1 species
GAUUCAGGUUCACUGUUUAGAGUAGGAUGCACCUAGAUAGAAUCUAUCGAUCUGGAUAGAAAAGGAGUAGUUCUACAUGAUUUGCAUGACUGAGUUUAGGAAGUCUCUAACCAGAGCAAGUAGGAAUACUAAAAAAGAGUUUUCACGAGAUUCACAAAUAAACUCGAGUCGAGCCAAUCUAGCAUAUGACUGACGAUGGGAUUUGACGAGUUCUCCAUGACCUCCAUCUAGUCGG